CCCUAGAGCCCACCUUCGAGCCAGGGGCUUUUCUACCAGGAUUCUGGGGUGUUUCUCCUCCCUUCCUCCCUCCCAGAUCUUCUCACGACUAACCACAAUUGGCAUUUUGUACUGUGAAGUUUUUAGUGGUCUAAAACUAAAUGAUUAUGUUCUGGGCUAAUGCUGAUAAUUUGGAUACGGUGGUAUGGAGGAAACCAGUAUCGUGUAGAAGAAAUUCUUUAGUAAAAAGGAUUUUAGUUUUUGGUACUUCUGAAUGCAAAUGGCCAAGGAAUCCAACAGUUUGUUGGGCUUUCUCCAGAUAAAAAUAGGCUGGUUAGUUGGUUUACCUUUUUCUGUUGUUUUACUAAUGUAUUUGUAUAUUUGAGAUCUAGCUAGUUUUUAAAAUGUAUUGUAAUUAAAAUUUGAGAAAAUAGUAUUUUCUCGUAAAAUAGCCAGAACUCAGAGGGUUUUCUUGCUCACCAUUGCUAUUUCCAUUUUUAGAAUGGAAUACGCUAUUUGUAAAAAAAAAAAAAAAAAAA